rnacentral:lncRNA from 1 species
GGAAAGCGCCUCCAAACGCCAACCAAAACUGAGCCUGUGACUGUCGCAGGUCACGCCCCUGGCUGGUGUGGUCAUGGCCAGCUCGGGCCCCAGGGCUGCAGCGCCUCCGAGUCCUGGGAAUACUCCUUGACUGUAUCGGGACAAGCAAUCUGUGGGCACGAGUGUUUGCCCUCUCACAUGGUCACCUGUAGCUGCAAGGGAGUCAGGCCAGAGAAAGCGUUGCCAUGCUCAUGAUGCGGAAAUGAAGUGCUGCAAAUGGCAGACUCCCCUCCAGCGUACCUAAUGCUAUGGUUCCUUGUCCAUCUGGUCUCCCCAGACUCUUCA